UACGGCGACAUCAGGUUGAAACACCGGUUCCCAUACAAAUACCGAAGUUAAGCAACGUCGAGCAUGGUCAGCAACUAGAUGGGUGACCGCUUGGGAACACCAAGUGUUGUAAG